GGCAGUCCACGCACCAUAGCCAGGUGUUUGACAAAGAUGCUUCAGAUGUACACACGAGCCAUAGUCUCUUCAUCAAUUGGUGCUGGGAUGUACAGAAGGUUGAUUAGAAGUCUGCAUACAAGUAUUAACUCAAAAUGAACAAAGGACAUAAAACUUCUAGAAGAAAACCCAGACCACACUUCAAUAUAUCAGUAUAAGGAAAUAAUCUCAAAGCAAGGUAACAAAACCAAAAAUAGACAAGCAGGUGUUGUUGUAAAAAUAUAAAAAAUAUAGCAGUCUUUCAUCCCCACUAGGUCUACACCACAGUGCUCCAAGAUGUCUGCUGGAUAUCUUAAUCUCAGUCAGCAAAGCGUCUCACCCGCUCUGCUCCAUCCCCUAUCACACUGCUGAAGGCCUCUCUCUGAGCCGUCAGCAAUCUCUCUACCUAUCUAGUUCCCAAGGCAGGUCUCCAUGCCAGAAACACACAUCCCAACUCUGUGGCAGCCCAGACCAGCCGCCGCACACUUUCUUACACGUAAAUCGCUACAUGAAAGAACAUACAACACAAUAACUUUUGGCCCAAUUGAUAAGAUAUAAUUGCCCACCUAAACAUACAAAGCCCAGUACCAUCCAUCCCUUAAGAACAUUAAUAACAACCUGUAAAUACACAGAGCAGAAUUUUAACGUCACCUGCCAUAUUGUCCUGCCAUGGCUUCUCUCCCUGUCCCUCCUGUCUCUUCUUCAUUUCUGUUCCAGUCUCCUCCUCUUCCUCCAAACUUUUCUCCCACCCAUCCUUCCUUCUCAUCCAAUGACAGGCCUCCUUCUAUCUUGUACCUGCCUCACCUGUGACAUCGUCCCACAAACAGGACUUUAACAACCUAAGCAACUUCUGGAAGAGAAAAACAUCAGAGUGAAAAGACAACUGGCAAGACAGAGGAACAGCCGCAGAGGACUCAGCCAUGGCUCGGUAUCUGCCCACAUCAGGUAAAUGAUGAUCACUGAACUUGAACGACUGCAGUCAAUUUAUAAAUGAAGGCUGGAAAGGGUGGAAAGAAAAGGGCGCUCAUGAACGUUGCCACUCAGUGUAAAUUAGUGCAGCAUCUAUGGAAAACGGUAUGGCCAUAUGAUCUAGCACACCCAUUACUAGGCUUGAUAACCAAAGGGGAGAGGGGCAGGGUAUAGAAAAUGCCAGGGAGAGCAUCCACUGUGCUCUGCUGCCCCAUCUACAAGCGCCAAGGCAUCAGUUAGGGUCCAGUGAUAGAUGAACAAGUAAAGGAAAUAUGUCAGAGCUACAAAAUGGAAUAGUAUUCAGCUGUAAAAAGGGAAUGAAAUCCUGCCAUUUGUGGAGGACAUUAGGAAAAUAACACACACACACACACACACACUCUUCUUUAUCUUAGUCUUACAUAGAAGCUAAAGAGUUUAUUUCAUGUGUUAGUGAAAUGGUGCUCACUAUGCUAGGAGCUGGGAGUGAGGGAGAAGAGAGAGAAGAGGGGAGAAGGGGGAUGGUUGGGGGUAGGUCCUUAUGUUCUGCAGUACAUCAUGUGACACUGCAGUAUAUCACAUGACACUAUUUUCCAGCCACCUACUGCAUAUGUUGUAAUGACCUAGAUGGAGCUUGGAAGACCCAUUUCUUGGAAAUACUAAGUGUGGCAACAUGAGUUACCCUGGGCUGAGCCUUGCACACUACACAUAUGUACCAAUCCUCACACACUACCCCAUAAAUAUCUGUAGUAUCCAAAUUCUGCUUUGGAUUUCUCUGUUGGGAACCAAGGCAGUUGAAGAGGGGGGUGGAUUCUUGGGCUUUUAACAGUUAAAAAUUUUGGAAUUUGGGCUGGCAAGAAGGAUCAGCAGGUUAGAAACACUGCUGUCAAGCAUGAUGACCCAAGUUCAAUACCUGGGAACCACACAGUGAACCAACUCCUGCUGCUUGUCUCUGACCUUCAUGUGUGUGCAAUGGUGUGCUCAUGCAGCACACACACACACACACACACACACACACACACACACACACACACACACACACACACAGAGGAGAAAAAAAUAUUAAAAUCUGGAAUUUUGCCUGAAAGACCUGCAGUGAGAAUUUUAGUCACAGUGAAUGCAAACUUCCGCACCAGGGGAGAAGGCAGCUGGAUCUAGUGAAGUCCAGGGCUGCUGAGAGAGAGAACAACAGUACAGCAUCCAAAUCCUCUUGUGGGUGUCUGGCUCCAUUUUAAAAAAAUGGUCUGAUCUUGGCAGUGGCACAGAGACCUCAGAACAGGACCUGUUCUGUACUCCUGGCUUGCUCAAUCCGUGACUCUGAGCCAGUUCUAGGGACUGCAGUAGCACUGCAUUUUCUUAUGGCAUCUGUAGAAUUGUCCCUCAGAGUCAAGCAUCCCAUCAACCAGCCGUGUGUUCUGAGAAGGUGAUCGGGGUCAUGCUGGACUACCAGGGCUGCAUUGCUCAGAGGGCUGCUCUCAGUGUGAUGGCCCAUAAGACCUUGGGAGGGGAGCUCAAGAGCUAAGACCAUUUAAAAAUGUAUCUUACUGAAGAGAUCUUUCUUUUGGGAGUCAGUUUGGCAAUAACUAACUAAAACCAUUAAAACAUUUGUGUCCUUUGACUACUGGAUUCAUGUCUAAGAAACUAUCAUGAGAAUAAAUUAAUAUCACAAGACGUCUUCAUUUACUGCUGCUUACAACUUCAAGAAUAGUGAAAUUCGCAAUUAAGUAACAAUUACAUUACAUGAUGGUUACAUUAUAGAAGUUUUAGCAUGUGGAAUGAAGUGCUUUGCAAAGACCUGGAAACAGCCUACUUCUAAAGUCACAGGGGAAGUGUAUUGGACACUCGUAAGGAAAUACAUGCUCAUUUAAAAAGAUUAACGGACACAUGACAAUGUAAGCAGACUUCUAAGUUAGUGGGAUUGUAGGCAAUUAUUAAAGAUUAUAUUUUUGAGAGGGGGGAGGGAAGAAAAAGUAAACAGAAGUUUGUGCAUGGAAGUGCAGUGCUCACAGAGACCAGCAAAGAAUUUUGGAUACCUUGGAACGGAGGAAUUACAGGCAGUUGUGAGCCAAACCUGGAUCUUCUCCAAGAGCAGUGUGUACUCUCGUCCUCUAAGCCAUCUCUCUGGCCCCUUGGGAUGAUUUUUAAUGCAUUUAUACAUAGUUCUGAGUUCUCCUUAAUGAAUACAUAUACCACUUACAUUCAGUGGAAGAAUAUAGUUUUAAAAGUUGUUUCACUCAUGUGCUGGGUCACAGUCAUCACUCCUAGAAAAUAACUAAAUGUUUUCAGGGCGACUCUACCAUACCUGAACUCAGAUGUCAAUUAAUACACUCCAGGGUGGCUUGGGAAUUACCUAGAUCAGACUGGCCAGUGGCUAUAUCUCUGGGACAUUUUCCUAAUUGAUGUAGGAAAGCCCAGUCCACUGUGGGUUGUGCUAUCCCCUAAGCAGGUGGGCCAGGUUUGGAUAAGAAGGCUAGCUGAGCCACCCAGAGGAAAGCCCAGUCCACUGUGGGUAGUGCUAUCCCCUAAGCAGGUGGGCCAGGUUUGGAUAAGAAGGCUAGCUGAGCCACCCAGAGGAAAGCCCAGUCCACUGUGGGUAGUGCUAUCCCCUAAGCAGGUGGGCCAGGUUUGGAUAAGAAGGCUAGCUGAGCCACCCAGAGGAAAGCCCAGUCCACUGUGGGUAGUGCUAUGCCCUAAGCAGGUGGGCCAGGUUUGGAUAAGAAGGCUAGCUGAGCCACCCAGAGGAAAGCCCAGUCCACUGUGGGUUGUGCUAUCCCCUAAGCAGG
ensembl:lncRNA